GAGAAAAGGAGGCCCGGGGCAGCCCAGCCCAGUGUGGGUACUAGGGUCUAUGUCACCAUGGCUUGGACUCUUCUAGUCCUCAUGCUUGUGUCUCAAUGGACAGGUUCCCUGUCCCAGCCUGUGCUGACCCAGCCGUCCUCCCUGUCUGCAUCUCCAGGAACAACAGCCAGACUCACCUGCACCCUGAGCAGUGGCUACAACGUUGGCGGCUACCACAUAUACUGGUACCAGCAGAAACAAGGGACCUCUCCCCGGUGUCUACUGAGGUUCUACUCAGACUCAAAUAAGCACCAGGGCCCUGGGGUCCCCAGCCGCUUCUCCGGGUCCAAAGAUGCCUCGGCCAAUGCAGGGCUUCUGCUCAUCUCUGGGCCACAGCCUGAGGACGAGGCUGACUAUUACUGUGCUACAGGUUAUGGCAGUGGGAGCAGCUUUGGUUACUCACAGUGUCUCAGAUAACGAGGAAGUGAGACC